rnacentral:lncRNA from 1 species
GGUAAAGUCAUGUUAUCCUGUUAUUGACGGACACCGUUUUACAAUUCAGUGAUUCAGUAUUACUUACAGCUGAUGAUGUUCUGCUUUUGUGAUGUCAUAUUCUUUUGGCUAUUUAUCUUCCCUUUUCUCUCAAUGUCUUCAGAUAGUCCCAAACUUCAUCAGAUUUUUCGACCUUGAACCAUUACAUCCUCACGGUAAAGGUGGCCAAAUCUCUUCUCACCAGCACUUGGCUUCCAGCUCAGAUAAUAUCGGCGAUGUCAUAACCAGCAAGAUGGCCGUUCUUCCUAAACUCUUUCCCAUAGCAGCCUUGCUGCUGUCUUCCUUGCCUUUCCAAUUAUUGCCUUAGCAUCCUCCAUACUGACUGUGCAGGAAAUCCCCUGCAGCCUUCUUCUUCUCAGAAUAGCCAUGCUUUCCAACCGCUCUCUCUCUUCAUGUUGUCAUCAGUAUAUGUACUUCUUUUUCUUUCACUGGUAUGCCUGUUUCCAUCUCUCUUCCCAAGAAACUUUUAUUUCUUCUGUUACUAUCAUCUUUGACUUCUAUGUGACCAAACUACAAUGUCUGUGUUUAUGGUUGUCUGUACACAUUCCAGAAACAAAAGCUUCUUGUCAAUGUCAGCUCUCAUGUUCCAUUCCCUGCCCCUGUCCAAGAUGAAGUGCUGAUGUGAUUUUGUUGCAUAACCAGUAUCUACCUCUCUUGGAGAAUCUGAUCUGCUUUGCCUCUGUUGUCGAUGGUCUGUUCUUCCUUCUCUCAAUAUCACGGAUUUCUGCAAGAUGAUUUAGGACCAUGUAAGUUGUGCCGUCGUCGAUAUCUUCUCUGUGUCAGAACAAUCUUACAGCCUGAAAGUAUAUGUGCCAUAGUACCUCUUUCUCAACAGAACUUGCAGCCUUGUUCUAUCAGUCUCCACUAAUAUAAGAUUGAAGAGGGAGGAAGUGUAUUGUAGACUGACCUAAGAAUGAAUGAAAUUCGGAAUGGUUCCAUCCUCCAUAACUCAGCCCAUGAUAUACUAUAUACUAGUACCUUAUAUAGACGUCCUACUUAAAACUUAAAAAGUCACGUGAUAAAAG